rnacentral:lncRNA from 1 species
GAUAUGUUUGUGACACACGAGCACCCAGCAACAACGGCUGAUUUGUGACAUCGCACCUCACUGCUUCUAUGGGCAAUGCUGGCUCAGCCUAGCAGAAGGCAGUACACGACAGGGAGAAGUAAAGGAAGAGAUCAUGAAGUUUAAGGCAAACUAUUCAAUUCUACAUCUUCCUCCUGGAGGCCUGGAGACUGGAGCAGUACGGUAGGAGCCAAUGGGAUGAAAAUGUCCCACAAGUUUAGCAGGUAGUGUCACUCUCACUGAACUGAACUUUCAUCCCCUUUUUUAGUGCUACUCAAAUGCGCUCUUUAGGAGUGUUGAGUUUCAGAGAACAUCACAGAAGUUAACUUCAUGCUGCUUUCAGAAAGACUGAUGGUAGAGGCUUGCUUGUCAUCACAUUGUCAUCUUGUCCAAAGAGACUGGAUCGCAAUAAGUUAAAGCUCUGGUGUGACACAGUAAAGACUUAAGUGUAUGCUUCUAAGAACAACCUCUUGCUAUAAUCCUAUAAGAUGACUAAGAUGGAUGAGGAAGGCUUAGGUUUGAGUCAAUCUUUGGGUCCUUUUCAUGCCUUUAAUUC